rnacentral:lncRNA from 1 species
UAGAACAAAUUUUCAAAACAUAAUAUUAAUAAAGAAAUAAUUUAUUAACUAUAAAACAACAUAUAAGCCCUCGCUCACCUGGUGACUUCGUCGUUCUCUGUUUAAUGGCCAUGUUAUUUCCAAAAAGUUGUUCAACAUUCCUAUAAAUACUAAAUUGCUCUGUGAUUUUAUCUUGCACAGAUUCUUUAGGUAUCAACUUCUCAAUGCAUUCAUAGUAUCCACUCCUCAAAGGUUCAUCUCCUAGAAUCCUCUCUUCAUUGGCGUAAAACAGUUUCGGGUUCAAAACAAGUCCAGCUGCAUGCAAAAGGCUAUGAAACUUACUAUCCCACCUUUUAACUAUGA